UACAGAGGUGGCAAGCGUUGUUCGGAAUUACUGGGCGUAAAGGGCGCGUAGGCGGUUCGUUAAGUCCUGUGUGAAAUCCCCCGGCUCAACUGGGGAACUGCACAGGAAACUAGCGGGCUUGAGUUCGGGAGAGGGAAGCGGAAUUCCGGGUGUAGCGGUGAAAUGCGUAGAUAUCCGGAGGAACACCGGUGGCGAAGGCGGCAUCCUGGACCGGUAUUGACGCUGGGGCGCGAAAGCCAGGGGAGCAAACGGG
rnacentral:rRNA from 1 species